rnacentral:pre_miRNA from 1 species
CUUGUACUCCCUCCGUCUGAAAAUACUUGUCAUUGAAAUGGAUGUAUCUAUAUGUAUUUUAGUUCUAGACACAUCCAUUUUGAUGACAAGUAAUUCCGGACGGAGGGAGUACUUG